rfam:Cephalotus follicularis DNA, scaffold: scaffold202, isolate: St1.
ACGGCAUGAUGGGGACAUUUUCGAAUGAGAUCCUUUAAUCUUUCCCAUGACUCAUGGAGCCGCUCACCAUCUUGUUGCGAAAACCUAGUGAGAGCUUGUCUUAUCU